CUAGCCGUAAACGAUGAGUACUAGGUGUGGGGAUUAACAUCUCCGUGCCGACGCCAACGCAUUAAGUACUCCGCCUGGGGACUACGGCCGCAAGGUUAAAACUCAAAGGAAUUGACGGGGGCCCGCACAAGCGGUGGAGCAUGUGGUUCAAUUCGAUGCAACGCGAGGAACCUUACCUGGGCUUGACAUCCCGUGCAAUCCGAUGAAAGUCGGGUUUCGUCGCAAGACGACGCGGAGACAGGUGG
rnacentral:rRNA from 1 species